rnacentral:rRNA from 1 species
UAAUACGGAGGGCGCAAGCGUUGUUCGGAAUCAUUGGGCGUAAAGCGCGCGUAGGCGGCUAGGUAAGUCGGGUGUGAAAUCCCGGGGCUCAACCCCGGAACUGCACUCGAUACUGCCUGGCUAGAGUCUCGGAGAGGUAGGCGGAAUUCCCGGUGUAGAGGUGAAAUUCGUAGAUAUCGGGAGGAACACCAGUGGCGAAGGCGGCCUACUGGACGAUGACUGACGCUGAGGUGCGAAAGCGUGGGGAGCAAACAGGAUUAGAUACCCCGGUAGUCCACGCCGUAAACGUUGGGUGCUAGGUGUCGCGGGUAUUGACCCCUGCGGUGCCGCCGUUAACGCAUUUAGCACCCCGCCUGGGGAGUACGGUCGCAAGGCUA